AAAACAAACAGGAUUCCUUUAGUAAUAGCGAAUGAAGAAGGAUUAGCUCAGCAUGAUAAUUGGGGCAUCUGGCCUUGAAUUGUAGCUUGAAGAUGCAUUUGCCAAUGGACAUGAUUAUGGAAGCCUUUUGGGAAAAAGCAUCAUCGAGGGUGAGAAUCCUUCUUGACAUUUUAAUUGUCCAUGCACGGUGUGCAUUGAAGAUUCACGUUCCUUGGGAUUUGAACGCAAAAUUGUUGGUAAAUUUCAUUCAAAGCUAAAUACUAGUUUGAGACCGAUAGAAAACAAGUACCAUGAGGGAAAAGUGAAAAGGACUUUGAAAAGAAAGUUAAAAGUGUUUGAAAUUGCUGAAGAGGAAGCGGGUGUAUUUCAAAUACAAUUUUCAAGAUUGUUGCACAUAUUUGUUUUGCCUUGUUGUUUGAUUUAAUUGCAGCAGCAAGUUAUGACUUUGACUGUGCAAUGUUGCUUGUGUUUUGUGCAUCUAACAAUUUACAGCCAUAGAAACAAUCUAAACAUGAAUGUUUGCUUUUGUGUAAACGAACAUUUAGGCUCAGAUUUAGCUUGUGAAUUGUGAACACCAUGUUGACUGCACAAAUUGUCCCACAAAUCAAUGUGGGAUGAUUUCACGACAUGAAUGAUUGCUAAAGAAAUACAUUCGGCCCGUCUUGAAACACGGACCAAGGAGUUUAACAUGUGUGCAAGUUUAGUGUGUGAUGCUUGUUUUGCGCAAUGAAAAUGAUAUUUGGUAUUGUCUUGCACCAAAAACCAACCGCUCAAUUGUGAAAGGUUUGAGUAUGAGCAUAUUUGUUAAGACCCGAAAGAUGGUGAACUAUGCCUGUGAAGGGUAAAUUCAGGGGAAACUCUGAUGGAGGCUCGUAGCGAUACUGACGUGCAAAUCGUUCGUCAUACUUGGGUAUAGGGGCGAAAGACUAAUCGAACCAUCUAGUAGCUGG
rnacentral:rRNA from 1 species